rnacentral:rRNA from 1 species
CGCUUAACACACUGUCAAGUCGAACGGAAGAGUAUGCAGAGAUGGAUUUCGGUCAAAUCAAGUGUAUCUUUAGUGGCGGACGGGUGAGUAACGCGUGGGUAACCUAGCCAUAUACAGGGGAUAACACUUAGAAAUAGGUGCUAAUACCGCAUAAGCGCACAUGGCCGCAUGGCCAGGUGUGAAAAACUCCGGUGGUAUAUGAUGGACCCGCGUCUGAUUAGCUAGUUGGUGAGGUAACGGCCCACCAAGGCGACGAUCAGUAGCCGGCCUGAGAGGGUGGACGGCCACAUUGGGACUGAGACACGGCCCAAACUCCUACGGGAGGCAGCAGUGGGGGAUAUUGGACAAUGGGGGGAACCCUGAUCCAGCGACGCCGCGUGAGUGAAGAAGUAUCUCGGUAUGUAAAGCUCUAUCAGCAGGGAAGAAAGAAAUGACGGUACCUGAGUAAGAAGCCCCGGCUAACUAUGUG